rnacentral:rRNA from 1 species
UAGAACCUUACCUAGACUUGACAUCUCCUGAAUUACUCUGUAAUGGAGGAAGCCCUUCGGGGCAGGAAGACAGGUGGUGCAUGGUUGUCGUCAGCUCGUGUCGUGAGAUGUUGGGUUAAGUCCCGCAACGAGCGCAACCCUUAUUGUUAGUUGCUACCAUUAAGUUGAGCACUUUAGCGAGACUGCCCGGGUUAACCGGGAGGAAGGUGGGGAUGACGUCAAAUCAUCAUGCCCCUUAUGUCUAGGGCUACACACGUGCUACAAUGGCUGGUACAGAGAGAUGGUAAACCGUGAGGUGGAGCCAAACUUUAAAACCAGUCUCAGUUCGGAUUGUAGGUGAAACUCGCCUACAUGAAGCGGAGUUGCUAGUAAUCGCGAAUCAGAAUCGUCGUAUAGGCAC